GACGAACGCUGGCGGCGUGCUUAACACAUGCAAGUUGAACGGGAUCCACAUUAUGAAGUUCUAGGAUGGAAUAAUGUGGUGAGAGUAGCGGACGGGCGAGUAACGCGUGAGUAACCUGCCCUAUGCAGGGGGAUAACAUCGGGAAACCGGUGCUAAUACCGCAUAAGACCACGAUACCGCAUGGUAAAGUGGUAAAAGCUGAGGCGGCAUAGGAUGGACUCGCGUCCAAUUAGCUAGUUGGUAGGGUAAAGGCCUACCAAGGCGACGAUUGGUAGCCGAACUGAGAGGUUGGUCGGCCGCAUUGGGACUGAGACACGGCCCAGACUCCUACGGGAGGCAGCAGUGGGGAAUAUUGCGCAAUGGAGGAAACUCUGACGCAGCAACGCCGCGUGAAGGAAGAAGGCUUUCGGGUUGUAAACUUCUUUGAUCGGGGACGAAGAUGACGGUACCCGAGGAACAAGCCACGGCUAACUACGUG
rnacentral:rRNA from 1 species